rnacentral:rRNA from 1 species
UACGGAGGAUGCAAGCGUUAUCCGGAAUUACUGGGCGUAAAGCGUGUGCAGGCGGUUUGUUAAGACAGGUGUGAAAUCCCCGGGCUUAACCUGGGAAUUGCGCUUGUUACUGGCAAGCUAGAGUGCGUCAGAGGGAGGUGGAAUUCCACGUGUAGCAGUGAAAUGCGUAGAGAUGUGGAGGAACACCGAUGGCGAAGGCAGCCUCCUGGGAUGACACUGACGCUCAUACACGAAAGCGUGGGGAGCAAACAGG